CCUACGGGAGGCUGCAGUGGGGAAUAUUGCACAAUGGGCGCAAGCCUGAUGCAGCCAUGCCGCGUGUGUGAAGAAGGCCUUCGGGUUGUAAAGCACUUUCAGCGGGGAGGAAGGCGGUGAGGUUAAUAACCUCAUCGAUUGACGUUACCCGCAGAAGAAGCACCGGCUAACUCCGUGCCAGCAGCCGCGGUAAUACGGAGGGUGCAAGCGUUAAUCGGAAUUACUGGGCGUAAAGCGCACGCAGGCGGUCUGUCAAGUCGGAUGUGAAAUCCCCGGGCUCAACCUGGGAACUGCAUUCGAAACUGGCAGGCUAGAGUCUUGUAGAGGGGGGUAGGAUUCCAGGUGUAGCGGUGAAAUGCGUAGAGAUCUGGAGGAAUACCGGUGGCGAAGGCGGCCCCCUGGACAAAGACUGACGCUCAGGUGCGAAAGCGUGGGGAGCAAACAGGAUUAGAUACCCCGGUAGUC
rnacentral:rRNA from 1 species